AUUGAACGCUGGCGGCAGGCCUAACACAUGCAAGUCGAGCGGAUGAAGGGAGCUUGCUCCUGGAUUCAGCGGCGGACGGGUGAGUAAUGCCUAGGAAUCUGCCUGGUAGUGGGGGCUAACGUCCGGAAACGGGCGCUAAUACCGCAUACGUCCUGAGGGAGAAAGUGGGGGAUCUUCGGACCUCACGCUAUCAGCUGAGCCUAGGUCGGAUUAGCUGGUUGGUGGGGGAAAGGCCUACCAAGGCGACGAUCCGUAGCUGGGGUGAGAGGGAGACCAGUCAAACUGGGAAUGAGAAACGGUCCAGACCCCCAAGGGAGGACAACGGAGGGAAAAUUGAGAAAUGGGGGAAAGCUUGACGGAGCAACGGCGCGGGGGGGAAGAAGGUCUUCGGAUUGUAAAACUCUGUUAAUAGGGAAGAAAGAAUGGUAAAGUAAAUCUGCACGUUUUGAAGGUACCUAACAAGAAAACCACCGCUAAAUACGGG
rnacentral:rRNA from 1 species